rnacentral:rRNA from 1 species
CCUACGGGGAGCAGCAGUCGAGAAUCAUUCACAAUGGGGGAAACCCUGAUGGUGCGACGCCGCGUGGGGGAAUGAAGGUCUUCGGAUUGUAAACCCCUGUCAUGUGGGAGCAAAUUAAAAAGAUAGUACCACAAGAGGAAGAGACGGCUAACUCUGUGCCAGCAGCCGCGGUAAUACAGAGGUCUCAAGCGUUGUUCGGAAUCACGGGGCGUAAAGCGUGCGUAGGCUGUUUCGUAAGUCGUGUGUGAAAGGCGCGGGCUCAACCCGCGGACGGCACAUGAUACUGCGAGACUAGAGUAAGGGAGGGGGAACCGGAAUUCUCGGUGUAGGAGUGAAAUGCGUAGAUAUCGAGAGGAACACUCGUGGCGAAGGCGGGUUCCUGGACAUUAACUGACGCUGAGGCACGAAGGCCAGGGGAGCGAAAGGGAUUAGAUACCCCGGUAGUC